GACAGAGGGUGCAAACGUUGUUCGGAAUUACUGGGCGUAAAGCGCGUGUAGGCUGCUUGGAAAGUCGGGUGUGAAAGCCCUGAGCUCAACUCAGGAAGUGCACUCGAAACUUCCGAGCUCGAGUCCUGGAGAGGGUGGCGGAAUUCUCGGUGUAGAGGUGAAAUUCGUAGAUAUCGAGAGGAACACCGGUGGCGAAGGCGGCCAACUGGACGAAUACUGACGCUGAGACACGAAAGCGUGGGGAGCAAACAGG
rnacentral:rRNA from 1 species